AUAAAAUUCUCGGUAAUGAAAUUGUCGAUUUCAAUGAGUUGUGAAGAAGAAGAUCAGCGAGGAAUCUAAACACGGUUGAUCUACUUCAGCAUGCAAUUCAAGAACAGCUGAUUGCAACAGUAGACAAACACAUAAAUGUCCAGUGAAGUGAUUUGGAACUUCUUCAAAUAAGAGCUUGGUUGGAUCAGGAGCAGGCUUUGGCGGUUUUUUCGCAUUAGCACGGACUUUUCUACUUGGAGGAUUCUUGUUAAGCUGAAACCACGCCAAAAAUUGAGUAGCUUCACUGCUUAAUCGACUCAUAACACUCUCUUUGGUUUCACCUGGUUUGUAAAAGACUGGUUGUUUUCCUUCUUCAUGAAAGUAAAGUUUAACAA